ACGAACGCUGGCGGCAUGCCUAACACAUGCAAGUCGAACGAGACCUUCGGGUCUAGUGGCGCACGGGUGCGUAACGCGUGGGAACCUGCCCUUAGGUUCGGAAUAACCCCCCGAAAGGGGUGCUAAUACCGGAUAAUGUCCUCGGACCAAAGAUUUAUCGCCUUUGGAUGGGCCCGCGUUGGAUUAGCUAGUUGGUAGGGUAAAAGCCUACCAAGGCGACGAUCCAUAGCUGGUCUGAGAGGAUGAUCAGCCACACUGGGACUGAGACACGGCCCAGACUCCUACGGGAGGCAGCAGUGGGGAAUAUUGGACAAUGGGCGAAAGCCUGAUCCAGCAAUGCCGCGUGAGUGAUGAAGGCCUUAGGGUUGUAAAGCUCUUUUACCCGGGAUGAUAAUGACAGUACCGGGAGAAUAAGCUCCGGCUAACUCCGUG
rnacentral:rRNA from 1 species